UCCUGGUAGCUCAGUUGGUAAAGAAUCUGCCUGCAAUGCAGGAGACCCUGGUUCGAUUCCUGGGUCAGGAA
rnacentral:tRNA from 1 species